ACUCCUACGGGAGGCAGCAGUGGGGGAAUAUUGCACAAUGGGCGCAAGCCUGAUGCAGCCAUGCCGCGUGUGUGAAAGAAGGCCUUCGGGUUGUAAAAGCACUUUUCAGUCGUGAGGAAGGUAGUGUAGUUAAUAGCUGCAUUAAUUUGACGUUAGCGACAGAAGAAGCACCGGCUAACUCCGUGCCAGCAGCCGCGGUAAUACGGAGGGUGCGAGCGUUAAUCGGAAUUACUGGGCGUAAAGCGCAUGCAGGUGGUUUAGUUCAAGGUCAAGAUGUGAAAAGCCCGGGGCUCAACCUCGGAAUUGCAUUUGAAACUGGCAGACUAGAGUACUGGUAGAGGGGGGUAGAAUUUCAGGUGUAGCGGUGAAAUGCGUAGAGAUCUGAAGGAAUACCGGUGGCGAAGGCGGCCCCCCUGGACAGAUACUGACACUCAGAUGCGAAAGCGUGGGGAGCAAACA
rnacentral:rRNA from 1 species